AAAGACCACUGGUUUAUGCUGUCCAUAAGAAAAUUAACAUGGCCAACUGUCGCCAGAAUUCUUGCUACCCUUCCUCCGAUUUUCCCGAUUCUGUUUUGCUUGUCCUGCCCUCUAGUGUACGUUUUGUUAUCUACACUCUCUUGUUUUCUUCCAACCUUCCGCCAUUGUUCAUGGCAGUUUGUGUGUCCCAUAUUAGAAUUUAGCAAGAGAAAUGUCGUUUAACGAUAGAAAAAGAAGCUGUGGUGCAAAUUGUUUUCAAUUUUGGUUUAAUUGAAGAUGAAAAUCAUAGAUUUUCAACUCUUGAAGUUAACAUAGAGGCUUUCAUAGUGGGAAAAUUGAUUCCUUAACCUGGAUGCUCAGCUAUCUGUGGUCGGCAUUUUGAUGUUGAUGACAUUAUUAAAGGCAGAGAAAUAGGAGGAAUUUUCCAUCCAUUCAAGAAAUGGACCCUUAAAGACCUUGCUGUACCCAAACACUUUCUAUAUAAUAUAUUUUGCAAAUGUUAAUUUGAAAACUGGUAUGUUGCUGAAGUAACUAGACAACUUUUACGUAGGCAAACCUGUUGAUCCUCUUGCUGAAUCUAUUGAUUGUUCUCAAGCUAAGAAAGGUGGGCCCAAGAUACAUAACCCUUUUGCUGAUUGCAACAAUGAAAAUCGUAAAGCUCUUGCUUCCAAAUCUUCUAAUAAUGGUGGGACAUCAAAACAGACUCCAAUAUCUGAUUGCAGCACUGGAAAUCGGCAGCCUCUCAUUUCCAAAGCUUCAAACAAUGGUACACUCAUCAAUUUAGCUAGUUCCCGUAAACACUUUGAGAUGAUUAAUAGCAUUAAUCAAAUGGACCAAAAUGUGACUGUUAUCAAUAAUUUGUUAAGAGAAGCUCAAGGUGAGGCCAGUGUGACACUUCAUGACCUUGGAGUCAACAAUUUCCCAUUCCUCUGAGAGACUAGUUUCGACUGAUUCUGAAGCAACAGAUGUUUGUUUUAGUCAAGAGUCCCUUUCAGGUGAUCCCAAGACCCUUCAAAUUGACAAUUAUCCAAAUGAAGACUACAUGAAGUCCUACUUCUAUUGUUUGAACCUUUGUGGUCCGUUAUAACAUUCUAUAUCGUCCAAAUGAACAAUAAAUUACGACUUCUCCUGUUUAAACCUUUGUGUCCCAUUCCAUCACAUCCCAUUUUAUCCAAAUGAAAAAGACUCGGCGAUUGAUGAAGAGAGAAAGAAAUCAUAAAUAAAAGAAUCGACAAUU